GUUUAUUGGGGAUUUUGGAGUUGCUUUGAAUGCCCGAUCAAUUUUGGAAGUUUUGAUUUACUAUUCCAUGAAUAGUGCCGAUACCUAAAUCAUAGAUCCGGCCAAAUUUCCGGCGAGUGCAACCUCACCACCCAAUCAGAAUUGUUCCCCUCUGACCGAUCUAAGUUUCCAUAGCUUAUAUGCGAAUUUUGGAGGUGAAUUGAAGCCUACACGACUGUUUAAAGUUUCGAGUUACUAUUCCAGCUACAGUGCUGUUCUUCAUGCUACAGUAUUUUGUUCAUCUUAGCUACAGUAAACGUGAUCUCAACAGUGCUUGUUCGCUACAGUACCCGUAAUCACUACAGUACAUGUUGCUACAGUGAUUUCGGGGCACUAUUCACAGAACUUGGGAUUUUGGGCAUUUUUCUUCCGGGAUCUCUCGUUGCGCCACUCGGCCCGAAUGGCUUCUCCGGCCAUGGCCGGUGGCCAUCCGGCUACUUCUUUGGAGUUCCCGCCGCUUCCGUCGUUUGCACAAAUGGCGGCAAAACCGCCCACUGCUCAACCCUGCAAAUCGUUUGUGGAUGCCGCUGUUGAGUCUCAAAGAGCUGCUCCGGCUAUUGCUUUCAGGCAAUCCUCGACCCACAGAGGCGAGCCGGCCAUAUUUUUCUCCGAGGAAGAAAUUAACAUCAUGGCCGCACCGUUCAAGCUUGCUUUGGUGGGUAAGUUUUCCUUCGGCCGCCCUCCCAUUGAUGUUAUCCGCAAAUUUUUUGUGGCUCUUGGCUUGAAGGGAAAUUGUGAAAUCUCAUUAUUGGAUCCUCGCCACAUCCUUAUCCACCUGCACCUGGAAGAGGACUAUACGAGAAUUUGGCUCCGCCAAUCUUGGUUUAUUGAUGGCCGAGCUAUGAGGGUGUUCAAAUGGUCCACAACUUUUCACAGUUCGGAAGAGUCGCCGAUUGUUCCGGUAUGGGUCUCCUUGCCGUUUUUACCUGUCCAUUACAUGAGAUGCAAAGAGGCUCUGUAUUCGAUUGCUGCUGCCAUCGGUAAACCGCUUCGGAUCGAUCAUGCCACCGCCGCGGUCAGUAGGCCUACUGUUGCUAGAGUCCUCAUUGAGUAUGACAUUUCUAGGCCUCUAUUGAAGCGGUUAUGGAUCGGCGAAAAAGACACUGGAUUCUGGCAGUAUAUUAUCUUCGAAAAGGUGCCUCGGUAUUGUGCUGCCUGCAAGCACGUGGGCCACUCUGAUGAUUCUUGCUAUAUCAACAAACCCGAGUUGCGGAAAGCGGACCGUGUUGGCCCAGUUCAGCAACCUGUUGUUCCUGAUGGUGAGCGUAACAAGACGAAGGCACCUAUGAAGACUCAGUAUGUCCAGAAAGCUGAUAACAGAACCCAGAACACGGUAACAAAUGUAGCGGCCACAGUUCUUCCUCCGGUUGUUCAUAAUGGUCCUACCACCAGUGCCGAAACCAGGGAAGCACAAAAUGAUGUUCCUCCUGCUAAAACGACACAAGUUGCCAUUUCUGAUCCUCCCGCCGUUGCUGACAUACCUCCUCUGCGCACAGUCACCCAGCCUUCUGUUGUGUGUGCCUCUUCUGAGCCCACGUGCAGUGACCUCGUUCCUGCUGUUACUGGUGCUGAUUCCACGGUCACUACUCCUACACCUCUUGUAGCUCUUCAGCCGUUGAGUGGUGAUCAUGCCGCUCAUGUGGGAAUUACAGCCGGUGAUCUUAUUUAUCGUGAGAUUCCUGCUUGGGAUCCUUAUCGCCAUCAAGGGCGAUUUUACCGCAGCUCAUCCUGGCAGACGGCCAGUUCAUGUGAUACUUUUCCAGACAUUCCGUCUACCGAUGUCUUGGCAAUCCAAUGUGCUCCACAUGAUGCUACGCCGAUAUGCACUCUUAAUACUGAAUCCACUGAUGUCCCUGAGGUAUCUCCUGCACCCGACACUUCAAAAGAUAGAAUUGGAAAGAGUUAUCCGUACGAGGAUUACACCAGCUCGAGUGAUGAUGACGUUCAUGUUAAUGUCCGUAUCGGCAUUUCAGACUCAGAGAUUAUGGAGGGUUCUGCUAUCGAGAAAUUGGGCGGACAGAGAAUUAUCACUUCUACGGAGGGUUUUGCGGAAGUUGCUCCACGGAAGGGCUACAAGAUGUCCCGUAGACGCCGGCGAUAUUGAUAUCAUAUGUUUAUUGUAGUUUGUAUUUUGCUUGUCUUGUUGAUGUUUGCUGUUUGCUCUGGAGGUUUGGUCUAUGCCCCCCUCCAGUAUUGUAUUUUAUUUUCCUUUACUUUCUUUUUAUCUACAGGUAGGGGUCCCGCCUAACCCCCCACCUCCGGGUGGUUUCUAAUAAAAAAAAAAAAACCCUAAACCCUAAACCCUAAACCCUAAACCCUAAACCCUAAACCCUAAACCCUAAACCCUAAACCCUAAACCCUAAACCCUAAACCCUAAACCCUAAACCCUAAACCAAACCCUAAACCAAACCAAACCAUUAUUCCCGGAUCUGCUACAGUAGCGUUUUGCUACAGUGACAAUUUUCUCUCAAUCGCUACAGUGAUGCCGAGCCUUUAAUUCAACUUUCCGGCCAAUUUCCGGUGAGUGAAUGUACACCUCCACUUCCAGCACGUCGGCCUUUGAAUUCCCUUCGAUUUGAUAUGUUGCUUGGAAAUUAUGGAGCACGUUUGGAGCUUGAAAGAUUGAAGUGAAGUCGGAUUACUAUGCGUGCUACAGUACCCGAAUGCUAGUUUCGGUUUUCCGACCACAUUUUCCGACAAGUAAGCUUACACCUCCCUCUUAAACAUAUUCACCCUUCGUUGAUCUACAUUUCUGUGUGUUUAUUGGGGAUUUUGGAGUUGAUUUGAAUACCCGAUCAAGCUUUGAUGUUUCGGUUUACUAUUCAAUGAAUAGUGCCGAUAUCUAAAUCCUAGAUCCGGCGAUAUUUCCGGCGAGUGAAUUCUCACCUCCCCCUCAGAAUUGUUCCCCUCUGAACGAUCUACGUUUCCAUACCUUAUAUGAGCAUUUUGGAGGUGAUUUGAAGCCUACACGAUAAUUUGAAUUUCGGAUUUACUAUUCCUGCUACAGUG
rnacentral:lncRNA from 1 species